CAUAGAGCUUCACUUUGCAUCAGCAGCUCCAUGCUCCAGUGCUCUUGAAGACUUUAUAGUCCUGAGAGUUGAAUGCUGGAUGACAACAGAAGACAUCCUCCUCAUCAAAAAUAUGACUUUGAUCUGCGUCCUCAUCUGGACUCUCCUCUGCUGCUGCUUCACAGAGUCCAGAGGUCAAGUCACAGUGAUUCAGCCUGCAGCAGUAAGAGCUGAUCUGGGAGGAUCUGUCAGCAUCAGAUGUAGAACCAGUCAGAAUGUUUGGGUCUGGAGCAGCUACCACCAUUUAGCUUGGUAUCAACAGAAAAGUGGUCAAAAUCCUAAGCUGCUCAUUUAUUACGCUAGCUCUCGAGCAUCAGGGACAACAAGUCGUUUUACAGGCAGUGGAUCAAACUCUGACUUCACUCUGACCAUCAGUGCAGCUCAGGCUGAAGAUGCUGCAGUUUAUUACUGUCAGAGUGCUCAUCUCAUCAACAGUCAACGCCGGUUCACACAGUGAAAAACUCUGGUACAAAAACUUCCCUUUGUCGACUGAACUGAAACUGAUGCAAGGGAUUUAACUGGUAGCUGCUAGAGAGACGACGAAGGGACAGAGAACUAUUAUCAAGCAAAUUAAGUAACUGCAGUCAGUUGUUCAUGCUUUAGUACUUUUUUUUCUAAUCAAAAAACUUUACAUUUUUGUAAUUAUGAAUUCA